GAUGAACGCUAGCGGCAGGCCUAACACAUGCAAGUCGAGGGGUAGAGGAAGCUUGCUUCCUUGAGACCGGCGCACGGGUGCGUAACGCGUAUGCAAUCUACCUUUUACAGAGGGAUAGCCCAGAGAAAUUUGGAUUAAUACCUCAUAGUAUCUUUGCUUGGCAUCGGGUGAUUAUUAAAGUUCCAACGGUAAAAGAUGAGCAUGCGUCCUAUUAGCUAGAUGGUAAGGUAACGGCUUACCAUGGCAACGAUAGGUAGGGGUCCUGAGAGGGAGAUCCCCCACACUGGUACUGAGACACGGACCAGACUCCUACGGGAGGCAGCAGUGAGGAAUAUUGGACAAUGGGCGCAAGCCUGAUCCAGCCAUGCCGCGUGCAGGAAGACGGUCCUAUGGAUUGUAAACUGCUUUUGUACGGGAAGAAACACUCCCUCGUGAGGGAGCUUGACGGUACCGUAAGAAUAAGGAUCGGCUAACUCCGUGCCAGCCGCCGCAGUAACAC
rnacentral:rRNA from 1 species